UCAUCGGCCUCAGAUUGGUAGGACUACCCGUUGAACUUAAGCAUAUCAAUAAGCGGAGGAAAAGAAACUAACAAGGAUUCCCCUAGUAACGGCGAGUGAAGAGGGAAGAGCCCAAGAUUGAAAGCUGGCGUCUUCGGCGUCCGCAUUGUAAUCUCAAGAAGUGUUUUCCGCUUCGGACCAUGCCUAAGUCCCUUGGAAAAGGGCAUCAUAGAGGGUGAUAAUCCCGUACAUGGCAUGGAGCGCCCGUAGCUUUGUGAUACGCUUUCUAAGAGUCGAGUUGUUUGGGAAUGCAGCUCAAAAUGGGUGGUAAAUGCCAUCUAAGGCUAAAUAUUGGGGAGAGACCGAUAGCGAACAAGUACAGUGAUGGAAAGAUGAAAAGAACUUUGAAAAGAGAGUUAAACAGUACGUGAAAUUGCCAAAAGGGAAGGGUAGGAGGUCAGAGAUGCGUCUUGGGAUUCAGCCUUGCUUUUGCCUGGUGUUUUUCCCAAGCUGCAGGCCAACGUCGGUUUUGGGCACUGGAGAAGGGUAGGAGGAACGUGGCACCUCUCGGGGUGUGUUAUAGCCUCCUACUGGAUACAGCGACCGAGACCGAGGAACGCAGCGUACUCGUAAGAGCGGGCCUUUUGGCACCUUUACGCUUAGGGC
rnacentral:rRNA from 1 species